ensembl:lncRNA
CAGAGAGAAUAUAGACAGUGUUAUGGGUCAGGCAGAGAGAAUAUAGACAGUGGGUCAGGCAGAGAGAAUAUAGACAGUGGGUCAGGCAGAGAGAAUAUAGACAGUGGGUCAGGCAGAGAGAAUAUAGACAGUUAUGGGUCAGGCAGAGAGAAUAUAGACAGUGGGUCAGGCAGAGAGAAUAUAGACAGUGGGUCAGGCAGAGAGAAUAUAGACAGUGUUAUGGGUCAGGCAGAGAAUAUAGACAGUGGUGGGUCAGGCAGAGAGAAUAUAGACAGUGGGUCAGGCAGAGAGAAUAUAGACAGUGGGUCAGGCAGAGAGAAUAUAGACAGCCUUAUGGGUCAGGCAGAGAGAAUAUAGACAGUGGGUCAGGCAGAGAGAAUAUAGACAGUUAUGGGUCAGGCAGAGAGAAUAUAGACAGUGGGUCAGGCAGAGAGAAUAUAGACAGUUAUGGGUCAGGCAGAGAGAAUAUAGACAGUUAUGGGUCAGGCAGGAACAUUUUAGCAGUGUGCAUGUGAGACAGAGGGGGCAGUAGCCCUCCUCAGUUUAAACCAUGUUGUUUGAGAAUGAUUCUCACUCUCUCGUCAGUUAAGAACAAAUUCUUAUUUACAAUGACGGCCUACCAGGGAACAGGUUAACUGCCUUGUUCAGGGGCAGAACGACAGAUUUUUACCUUGUCA